rnacentral:rRNA from 1 species
CUCAGGAUGAACGCUAGCUACAGGCUUAACACAUGCAAGUCGAGGGGCAGCGGGAUUGAAGCUUGCUUCAAUUGCCGGCGACCGGCGCACGGGUGAGUAACACGUAUCCAACCUGCCGUCUACUCUUGGACAGCCUUCUGAAAGGAAGAUUAAUACAAGAUGGCAUCAUGAGUCCGCAUGUUCACAUGAUUAAAGGUAUUCCGGUAGACGAUGGGGAUGCGUUCCAUUAGAUAGUAGGCGGGGUAACGGCCCACCUAGUCUUCGAUGGAUAGGGGUUCUGAGAGGAAGGUCCCCCACAUUGGAACUGAGACACGGUCCAAACUCCUACGGGAGGCAGCAGUGAGGAAUAUUGGUCAAUGGGCGUAAGCCUGAACCAGCCAAGUCGCGUGAGGGAUGAAGGUUCUAUGGAUCGUAAACCUCUUUUAUAAGGGAAUAAAGUGCGGGACGUGUCCCGCUUUGUAUGUACCUUAUGAAUAAGGAUCGGCUAACUCCGUG